rnacentral:rRNA from 1 species
UAAGGGCGCACGGUGGAUGCCUUGGCACUAGAAGCCGAUGAAGGACGUUACUAACGACGAUAUGCUUUGGGGAGCUGUAAGUAAGCUUUGAUCCAGAGAUUUCCGAAUGGGGAAACCCAGCAUGAGUUAUGUCAUGUUAUCGAUAUGUGAAUACAUAGCAUAUCAGAAGGCACACCCGGAGAACUGAAACAUCUUAGUACCCGGAGGAAGAGAAAGAAAAUUCGAUUCCCUUAGUAGCGGCGAGCGAAACGGGAAGAGCCCAAACCAACAAGCUUGCUUGUUGGGGUUGUAGGACACUCUGUACGGAGUUACAAAGGACGACAUUAGACGAAUCAUCUGGAAAGAUGAAUCAAAGAAGGUAAUAAUCCUGUAGUCGAAAAUGUUGUCUCUCUUGAGUGGAUCCUGAGUACGACGGAGCACGUGAAAUUCCGUCGGAAUCUGGGAGGACCAUCUCCUAAGGCUAAAUACUCUCUAGUGACCGAUAGUGAACCAGUACCGUG